rnacentral:rRNA from 1 species
UACGGGGGGGGCGAGCGUUGUCCGAAGUUACUGGGCGUAAAGCGCGUGUAGGCGGGUUGUUAAGUCCGCUGUGAAAGCCCGGUGCUCAACGCCGGAGGGUCGGUGGAUACUGGCAGUCUUGAAGUGGCUAGGGGGAAAUGGAAUUACCGGUGUAGCGGUGAGAUGCGUAGAUAUCGGUAGGAACACCAGUGGCGAAGGCGGUUUCCUGGAGCUAACUUGACGCUGAGACGCGAAGCUGGGGGAGCAAACGGG